CACAGUAAUUAAGACAGGAAGUCCAUUUUAAUUAACCUGUCUUUUCUGCUUUCCUUUGUGAUUUUUUUCCUUUUAACAUACUGAAACAGUUGGCCAGUUUUUUCUGUUCUGCAAAGCCGAAUGAAAGAAAAAAAAAUAGAUAAAUAAUAAUUCCCACCUAAUUAUCUAGCUGUUUUUCCACUAGCCCAAGCAUUGUUUAGUAUUUCCAGUAAGUUCAGGUGAUUUUUCCAUUUCUAAAGCCGGAAUAAAGAUAAAUAAUAAUUCCCACCAUGAAAAAUGGAACCUAAGCCGCACUACUAGAAAUAUCACUUAGCCAAUUGUAUUGUCUAGGCAAAAUAAAUAGAAAAGAAGCACCUUGAUUAUAUUUAUAUAUAUAUUAGUGGAAAGGUUUGUCUUAGAUCCAUGUCAUUUUUUUAAUGGGAGCUUUUAUAAGAUUAGUGAAAUUUGUAUGCAAAUACUUGAAACGGAUUUGUACUAUGUCUCUAGAAUAUAAACUGAUCUUCUACAUUUUUAUCAUAAAUUUGUUAAUUUUAGUGAGAAAUUAAGAUUGUUCAAUUCUAGGGAUGUCAAAUCGUAUUAACGAGUCGUGUUCGUGUCGUGUUAAGACAUAUAUAUUAUACUAUGUCUAUCAUCUGCUCUCUCUCUCUCUCUCUGUGCUCUGCGUCUGCGAUACCUUAGCCCUUCUCGAAAUCACUCUCUCAUCUGCUCUAUCUCUCUCUCUGCUAUCUCUGAUGCCAAACGGUGGAAGUGCUUGAGCUUGAGAUCCAAGAGGUUAGAAUGUAUUUCCGUUUGGGAUCAGAGAGUUGCACACAAAAUCAUGGGUAGAAAUGCUCUCCCAACUCGUAUUAAGGCUAUUGGCAAAAAGCUAGCGGGCUUGACUCCAAUUAAUGCUCAAGAGCAUUAUAUAUUUAAAGUGCAUAAGCAGUAAUUCAAGGUAAUUGAGAAGGCUUACAAACCUGUGCUGCUUGCGAUCUGUCCUUGCAACAACCAUGGCAAAGUUGGCUAGGGACUUAUGGAAGAGCAUAAACUAUGAUAUCUGAAGCAAAUGCUUCAAAGGAGAAGUGAAAGCAGUGUGAUGCUACUUGAUGGGUGUUUCAUCAUUGAGCUUUUUCAAAAGUGUUGGAAUAGCAAUCUAAGGGAGAAGCAUGAUCCAAUCUUCCAAAUGAGGUGGAUGCGUAGCGAAAUAGCUCGCAAUCUACUGUUAUUUGAAAAUCAACUUCAAUGCUUUGUUCUUGCUAAAUUGUUCGAGAUGAGUGCCAAUGACCAGACACCACUUCCUAGCCUAUCCAUACAUUCUGGAGAACACAUCAUCGAUAUUGCUAUUUUUUUUUUCAUUGACUCAAUAUUUCAAGGUUGGGAUUUCAUUGGUACUUGUUCAACUGAAAUGAUUAAACAUCUACUUUGUCAGACGCAUACAACUAUUACUCCUCCACUCGCAAAAAUGGUACAUGAACAUCUAAAGUUUGGAGACAAAUUCAAGAACGCAGAUUUUAAGCAUAUACUUUAUUUGAUACAUACAAUAAUCAGGCUUUCAAUACUUGAUAUGGAACUACAACAUGCCACAGAAAGUCAAGAGGUUGGAGUCAAAUUCAAGAAGGGAGAGAUAUUGAAGCAUUUGUUUGGCCUGAUACAAAAGUUUGGAUUCGAAUCCAAUAUGGCAGAAAAUUCUAAGCAUCUAAAUGAUAAUCUGAAUAUUUGAAUUGAACACUGCAACUCAAUACCAUAUGGAAUAGAGCUUCAAGAGGCUAGAGUCGAAUUCAAGAUGAUAGAGAAAUUUAGGGAUAAAUUUGAGUAGAAUGAGAACUGAAAGUCAAUACCGGAUGGUGUCAUUGCAUUUCAAAAGGCUGGAGUUGAAUUCGAGAAGGUAGUUAAAUUUAGAGAGCUAGUUUAUCAAGAAAGGCCGAAUGAAGACGACAAGUCAAAACUUUGUGGAGUGAAAUUCGAGAUGAUAGAGAAAUUUAUGUGCCUACCAUUUUUGAAUAAGAUUGAAAAUUGGAACUCAAUUUCUCACAGCACAGAGUUUAAAGAUGCCGGAGUUGAAUUCAAGAAGGCAAAAAAAUUUACGGAUACAAAAAAUAUGAUAAGGCCAAUACCUAAUGCAACAGAGCUUAAAGAGGGUGGAGUCAAAUUCAAGAAGACAGAGCAACAUACCAUCUUUAUCGAGUUUAGCAAUGGGGUAUUGGAAAUUUCGUCUUCGAGAAUAGAAUAUGAAAGUGAAACUUUUUUGCAAAAUCUAAUUGCAUUUGAGCAAUAUAGUCCACAUGAUGAUCCGAGUUACGUCACCGACUAUAUGUGCUUGAUGGAUGAUCUCAUUGACUCUCCAAAGGAUGUUGAAUUACUCCGUCGAAAAGGAAUUAUUGAAAAUUGGUUGGGUGGUGAUGAAGUUGCUUCCACCAUGGUCAACAAGCUUGGCCACCAUCUCACCAUUUCAACCUAGAACUCCAUUUAUGCUAAAACUUCCCUUGAUCUGAACAAGCACUGUGCCAAACGCUGGAAUGAAUGGAAGACAAGUUUGAGACACAAUUAUGUCCAAAGUCUGUGGGCUUUGCUUUCAAUUUUGGCGGCUAUCUCAUUGCUCGUACUUGCAGUUAUACAGACCGUGUUUUCCAUUAUUAAUUAGGUUAUUCAUAUACCUUUCUUCUUCUCAUGUUUUGUGAUUUUUUUGUUUUUGCUCUUGUAUCAAUACUAAAUAAGUUAGACAACAUUUUUUCUGCUUUCUUUUAGUCCAAAAUUAGAGGUAAUUAACAACAUGGAAUGACAUUAUCUCUACCUUUCAAAUGGUUAAGUAUAUAUUCAUCUUUUUUCAGGCUAAAAGUUGAACAUUUGAGAACUCAGUUAUAGAAGUAUUUUGAAAAGUUCUCAAAAUGAAAUGAAAUAUGGAUUUUACAGUUUCAAUAAUUAUCUUUGGCAUUACCUGGUGAUGUAACUCGGAUCAUAGUGUGGACUAUAUUGCACAAAUGCAAAAAAAGUUUCGCUUUCAUCUUCUAUUCUCAAAGGUGAAAUUUUCAAGACCCCAUUGCUAAACUUGGUAAAAAGGGUACGUUGCUCUGCCUUCUUGAAUUUGACUCCACAUUCUUUAAGCUCUGUUGCAUUAGGUAUUGGCCUUAUCAUAUUUUUUGUAUCUGUAAAUUUUUUUGCCUUCUUGAAUUUGACUCCAGCAUCUAUAAACUUUGUGCCAAGAUGAAUUGACUCUAGCUCUCUAAAUUUUAUUGCAUUCUCGAAUUCGCCUCUUGAAAUGCAAUGACAUCGUCAGGUAUUGACUUCCAGUUCUCAUUCUCCUCGAAUAUAUCCCUAAAUUUCUCUGCUAUCUUGAAUUCGACUCCAGCCUCUUGAAGCUCUAUUCCAUAUGGUAUUGAGUUGCAGCGUUCAAUCCAAAUAUUCAGAUCAUCAUUUGGAUGCUUAGAAUUCUCUGCUAUAUUGGAUUCGAAUCCAAACUUUUGUAUCAGGCCAAACAAAUGCUUCAAUAUCUCUCCCUUCUUGAAUUUGACUCCAACCUCUUGACUUUCUGUGGCAUGAUGUAGUUCCAUGUCAAGUAUUGAAAGCCUGAAUAUUGUAUGUAUCAAAUCAAGUGGAUGCUUAAAAUCUGCGUUCUUGAAUUUGUCUCCAAACUUUAGAUGUUCAUGUACCAUUUUUGUGAGUGGAGGAGUAAUAGCUGUAUGCGUCUGACAAAGUAGAUGUUUAAUCAUUUUGGUUGAAUAAGUACCACUGAAAUCCCAAUCUUGAAAUACUGAGUCAAUGAAAAAAGAAAUGGCAAUUUCGAUGAUGUGUUCUCUAGAUCACUGUCGAUGAAGCAACUUUUGCGUUCAACCGUAAGUUGGGAAGGAAAGAGAUCCUUGAUGCUUUCAUGGGUCCUGUCUCGAGCCUGCUGCUUCUGAGCCUAGUGAUUCUGCUCCCAAAGUUCCUGAGGUUGGCGCUCUUGGUGUCAAGGUCUAAUAGCUCCACGCUCUAGCUUCUUGGUGUCGCUGCUGCUAUUUUAUUUUGCUCUUCUCUUUCUUCUCUCUUUGGUAAAUGUAUAUACCUAUGCAUCGUCGCCCUGUGGCUUGUAUGUAACUUUAAUUAUUGAAAUUGUUUCACAUUUUUUUAUUGUGUCGGGCUGCUUGUCUUUA